rnacentral:lncRNA from 1 species
GAAUUGCCAAAGGGCCACAGAGCCCUCCCCCCCUCACACACACUCACACACCUGCUUCCCCAUUGCAACGGCGGCGAGAAGCCCGCGGUGCAGGGGGAAGGAGGGAGUCUCCGUCCGCCUGGUUUGACUGCAGAAGGGCAGGGGCGGAGGGAGGGAGGAGGUGGUGGCCGCUGCUAGGUGCAGCCGCGUGUGUGUACGGACAGAGCGUGUGUGGGAUUGUUGCACUCGGUAACCAGGCAGCCAGGGGGCUUCCUGUCAGCCCUGCAAACACAGCCCCGGGACUCGGAGACGAGGCAGGAUCCCGCGGAGAGCCCAGGGGCCGGGGCACCGGGAGGGCGGCCGAAGAGGAGCAGAGCGCUGCGGGAGAGAGACUUCUGAGGUCUCAUGAAGGAAGGACAGUGCUGUAGCACAAUCAUUGCAAGCAAGUACUGUGCUUUCAUUGGGGGAAAGGCUGCUAUGACUCAUCGUAGGCAUUCUGUGCUCAAGCUAAGUGAUGCUUUCUAAAAGGAAGUAGUCCAAACUCUUCAUCCUGUUGAGGUCUGCGGCUUGGUGUGGAGAUUCUGUCACUGAAACCGUUCUUGCUGCAAAGAGACCAUGGCCUCCUCCAGGCUAGUGGGGAGAUCUUCCAGGGAUAUUGCUGAUGUUAUGCAAAGGCUUCAAGGUAAGUGACUGAUUCUGAAUGGCUGUAUCUGUCAUCUGUUCAUGUAGAUGACAAAUAUAAUACUCUUUAAAGCCAGAAAAGCAUUUUAAAAUGAUUUAUACAUUUCAAAAACCUACUGUUCUAAACUAAUCUAUAGGAAAAUGUUUGCUUAUGAUGUGUUUGCAGAUUUCUGGUUAUGUUUCCUCUAGUAUUACAUUAUUAAUUAUGUUUAAAAGCAUAUGGCAUUAUGCAGCAUGGUUCAUUGGAUAAGGCAGUAGAUUGGCAGUAUGGACAUCAGGGUUCUAUUCCUGGCUUUGCCCCUGACCUGCUCAGUGACCUUGGGCAAAGUCAGUUCACCUCUCUGUACCUCAGUUUCCCCAUGUGUAAAAUGGUGAUAAAGACACUUACUUUCCUUCUCUGCUUUGAGCACUACAGAUGAAAAGUCCUCAAUCAAUAUAAUAAUAAUUUAAAAAUGAUUGCUAUUACAAUAAGGUCUAGAGGCCCCAAACAAGAUUAGGGCCUCAUUGUGCUGGGUAUUGUUACAGACACACAGUAAUAGAUAGUCUCUGCCCUGAAGAACUUACAGUAUAGAGCUAAGUGUUGUUGUUGUCUGAGUUGAUAUCCUUACGAAUCAUGGGACUUCUGGUUAUUGUUGCAGUCAGUUGUCAUCAGAUAGAACUUAAUAAGUUGCUUUAAGUUCUCUUUAUCACAAACAAGCAUGGCUAACUGAAAUGAUAAUGUUCAUUAAAACUUUUUAAAGUUUAUAA